CAGAAGAGACAAUAAAGGAUUACUUUGAAGCUCGCCUUGCUCUGCUAGAACCAGUUUUUCCAAUCGCAUGUCAUCGACUCUGUGAGGGUCCAGAUUUUUCAACAGAUUUCAAUUACAAACCCCCACAGAACAUACCAGAAGGCUCUGGCAUCCUGCUGUUUAUCUUCCAUGCAAACUUUUUGGGUAAAGAAGUUAUUGCUCGGCUCUGUGGACCGUGUAGUGUACAAGCUGUAGUUCUGAAUGAUAAAUUUCAGCUUCCUGUUUUUCUGGGUCUCGCUCUGUUGUCCAGGCUGGAGUGCAGUGGCGCGGAUUACAGCUCACUGGAGUCUUGACUUCCCAGGCACAAGCAAUCCUCCCACCUCAGCCUCCUAACUACCUGGGACUAAAAAUGCACGCCACCACAUCCGGCUAAUUUUUUGUAUUUUUUGUAGAGAUGGGGUUUCACCAUGUUGGCCAGGCUGGUCUCAAACUUCUGGGCUCAAGCGAUUGUCCGCCUUGGCCUCCUCCACAACAUCUUGACUUAUGAAAUAAAAAAUAAAACUUAUUUAUGAUUCUUUUACAUCAUUGGUGUUUUAAGGGCUUCUGGUGUAAGUUUGAAAACACUGACUUUUUUUUUCUCUUUCCAUUGUAGGACAGUCAUUUUGUUUACUCAUUCAGCCCUGUUGCAGGUCCCAAUAAACUCUUCAUAAGGUUGACAGAAGCACCCUCUGCCAAGGUUAAGUUGCUAAUAGGUGCAUACAGAGUGCAGCUGCAGUGACCAAACAGAAGGGACUGGGCGGAGUUCUCUUCAGACCGAUUCCUAUACUCUCUUUGACAGCAGUUUGGAAUUCUUCUAGCACAUCUAUGUAAAGUUUUGUCUGUAAACCUCUUGCAGUUAAGCCUGUUGUCUGUUGUAGUCUGUAAGAUGCGACAUAGCUGUGUCUGUGCCAGUAUGCCGGAAUCUCAGUGCAGUGUCCAGACUGCGUAUUUCAGUUUUUCCACAAUGUGGAUAGUACAUAUGAGGAUUAUUUAAGAAAAUUAAAGACUUCACUUUCUUUUUUCUGGAGACGGAGUUUCGCUCUUGUUGCCCAGGCUGGAGUGCAAUGGUGCGAUCUCGGCUCACUGCAAGCUCUGCCUCCUGGGUUCAAGUGAUUCUCCUGCCUCAGCCUCCUGAGUAGCUGGGAUUACAGACACCCGCCAUGGCACCCAGCUAAUUUUGUAUUUUUAGUAGAGAUGGGGUUUAUCCAUGUUGGUCAGGCUGGUCUUGAACUCCUGACCUCAGGUGAUCCGCCCGCCUCGGCCUCCCAAAGUGCUUGGAUUACAGGCAUGAGCCACCGCACCCAGCAAGAGUUAUUUUCUUAACUUGAAAUUUUCUACUAGCCCUGGUGAACUUCUGUGCUUAAAAAAAAAAAAAAAAAAAGGAAAAAUUCAGCUCUAAAACAUUUGCUUACAGCAAGGGAGCCAUGUUAUAUUCAAGUUACCCAAGCACCAAAUAAAGUGUGGGUUUGCUGCCCUUGAAAGGGUUGGGAGGCCUGAUCUUUUUCUAGUAGACAGUUGCCACACAUUCCCCAAGCACAAAAGGUGGAGAUGGCAGUCACUUUGUAAAUAUGCUGUAGUCACUUAUCAUCUUUUCAAAGGGUAACAAGAGAAUCUAAGAUGUAGUAAGAAUGUAAACCAGUACACUAUGAGACCUAAAAGAGAGUAUUAAAUGUGAACUUUUAGCAGAGCGUGGUGGCUCACACCUAUAAUCCCAGCGCUUUGGAGGCUGAGGUUGGAGGAUUGCUUAAGUCCAGGAGUUCAAGACCAGCCUGGGUAACAUGGGGUGGAACAAGCCUGUAGUCCCAGAUACUCAGGAGGCUGAGGUGAAAGGAUUGCUUGAGCCAGGGAGGUCAAGGCUGCAGUGAGCCGUGAAAGGCCACUGCACUCCAGCCUGAGUGACAGAAUGAGACCUUGUCUCAAAAAAAAAAAAAAGUUUCUUGGAACCUAUACGGUUUUUUUUUGUUUUUUUUUUUUGAAAAGCCAGACCUUGUGCCCUUGUUUUGAACACCGACUGGGAAGAUGGGGCUUAGGUAACAGCCAAACCUGGCUGUCAGCUGUGUGGGAGCCACCACCCUCUCUGGGAAGAGUUCCUGCUUCUGUAUGGCAAGCAUAAAUCAAGCUCAGUCUGGGUUAUGGAGAAGUUGAAAAUUGUUUUGUUCCUCAUUAGUUUAUAAUUGUAUGAAAUACGAUUUUAAUGAAAACUUUUCAGAAUUCACGUUUGUGUAGAUAUUUCAGAGAACCAUUUUUACUUUACAUCCUAAAACUGCCUUUUC
rnacentral:lncRNA from 10 species